GCCAGAUAAGGCUUCCUGGAGGACAGAAGGUAUUCCAGACCUGGGGCGGGUGUUUGGGGGGAUGGCCAAAAGCUUGAGAAGGAGGCUGGCAUUUGUGCUUGACUACAGGGUGGUUGUAAGCAAAAGGAUGGAGCUAGAUCAUGAAGGACCUGGGAAGCCAAAUGGAGUCACUGUGGUUUUUUCGGAAGAACAUGAAUUAAACAACAACAACAACAACAUGAUUCUUAAGAGGAGACCAAACGUGCUGCUGACAUGCAACUUCAAACUCCG
rnacentral:lncRNA from 1 species